rnacentral:rRNA from 1 species
CCUACGGGAGGCAGCAGUGGGGAAUAUUGCACAAUGGGGGAAACCCUGAUGCAGCGACGCCGCGUGAGUGAAGAAGUAUUUCGUUACGUAAAGCUCUAUCAGCAGGGAAGAAAAUAACGGUGCCUUACUAAGAAGCCCCGGCUAACUACGCGCCAGCAGCCGCGGUAAUACGUAGGGGGCAAGCUUUAUCCUGAUUUACUGGGUGGAAAGGGAGCUUAGACGGCAGCGCAAGUCUGGAGUGAAAUCCCAUGGCUUAACCAUGGAACUGCUUUGGAAACGGUGCAGCGAGAGUGCAGGAGAGGUAAGCGGAAUGACUAGUGUAGCGGUGAAAUGCGUAGAUAUUAGGAGGAACACUAGUGGCGAAGGCGGCUUACUGGACUGUAACUGACGUUGAGGCUCGAAAGCGUGGGGAGCAAACAGGAGUAGAUACCCUUGUAGUC